rnacentral:rRNA from 1 species
CCUACGGGGGGCUGCAGUGGGGAAUUUUGGGCAAUGGGCGAAAGCUUGACCCAGCGACACUGCGUGGGCGAAGAAGAUCUUUGGAUUGUAAAGCCCUUUUGUUGGGGAGUAAGCGAAUGCGCAGGAAAUGGCGUGUUCGUUGCAAGUACCCGACGAAUAAGCCCCAGCCAACUACGUGCCAGCAGCUGCGGUAAUACGUAGGGGGCAAGCGUUGUCCGGAAUUACUGGGUGUAAAGGGUGUGCAGGCGUCUUGCUAAGUUGGGUGUGAAAUCCCGGAGCUCAACUCCGGAGCGGCAUCCAAUACUGACAAGAUCGAGGUUAUGAGAGGGAAGCGGAACUCCCGGUGUAGCGGUGAAAUGCGUAGAGAUCGGGAAGAACACCAGAGGCGAAGGCGGCUUCCUAACAUAAUACUGACGCUCAGACACGAAAGCUAGGGGAGCAAACAGGAUUAGAUACCCCGGUAGUC